rnacentral:sRNA from 1 species
UAGCAAACAGGCACAAGAUCAAGCUAAGCUAGCUAGAGUCAUCCAUGGUCCUGAAGAGUUGCAGAGAGUAGAGAUAUAUCUAAAGCUAUAUAUGUACACUAUUUUUGUACUAAGAGAGCAAGGCUUACAUGGAGACAAGGGUUUAGCUCUGGUAGCCAAGGAUGACUUGCCUGUGUCCUUGUGUGUAAGGAUCAUUAAUUAUUAUUCAGAAAAUGAUCCUUUCAGCAGGUUUCAUGGGCAGUCUCCUUGGCUAGCCUGAGUGAUUCUUGUCACUUAUGCUAGGCUUGCAUCUCUCCUUCAUCUGUAUCUAUGCCGAUCUGUUCUGAAGAAUCAAUGCAUGCUGGUGCGGCUAAUUAAGGUACAGGUGAUAAUUAAUCAAAUUAAUGAUAUCAUAUAUAUAUAUGCAGAUUAUAUUAUUUAAUAUGCAGGUCGAGCGAUCUUGUGUUGUACUUUGAUGCUGCUUCUUUCUACCCAUCACAUAGGCAGAAUUAAUCCCUUAUAUUUAGGAAUUAAUGGAUGUAGUAUUUUGGAUCCAUCAUCCAUGAUGAUCCAAUGUAAAUAUGUAAUCAUAUAUAUGUGUGUAUGUGUAUGUAUCUCUAUACGAUACAUAUAUAGUUUUCUUUUUUACUUUAUUUUGGUCCUGAUGAGAGGGGCAGCUAGCUAGCUCAUCAAGUGGCGCUUAACUAUGUUUAUUCAUGAAGAGAUAUGUUAUAAUGGUUUCUAUUGGUAGUGGAAUUAUUAAUUCUGUUGGACAGAAUACAGGAACGAGGUCUUAAUUAUUUUGCAGUGGAUCGGAAUCGGAUGGCUGCAAGAACACGACGUACAAAUAUUGGGCAUAACUAGCUAGGUUGCCACUAUAUGUUUUUUUGUAUGUAAUAAUGUGUUAAUGUUUGUAGCUACUAGCUCGUCGUUCUUUCUGACUUUAUUAUUGUUUUUAUUUUUCUAAGUGAAAAGGGUGUCUUGUAAUAACAUUUUGUUUGUAGCUUAGCUAUAUCUUUUGUGCAACAAGAUCAUUGUACACUUUCUACUAAUAUAGUAGAACUUAAUUCAUUCUUGCUUCUUGUAAUUGCAUUUUC